rnacentral:rRNA from 1 species
UAGGGAAUCUUCGGCAAUGGGGGGAACCCUGACCGAGCAACGCCGCGUGAGUGAAGAAGGUUUUCGGAUCGUAAAGCUCUGUUGUUAAGGAAGAACGAGUGUGAGAAUGGAAAGUUCAUACUGUGACGGUACUUAACCAGAAAGGGACGGCUAACUACGUGCCAGCUGCCGCGGUAAUACGUAGGUCCCGAGCGUUGUCCGGAUUUAUUGGGCGUAAAGCGAGCGCAGGCGGUUAGAUAAGUCUGAAGUUAAAGGCAGUGGCUCAACCAUUGUAGGCUUUGGAAACUGUUUAACUUGAGUGCAGAAGGGGAGAGUGGAAUUCCAUGUGUAGCGGUGAAAUGCGUAGAUAUAUGGAGGAACACCGGUGGCGAAAGCGGCUCUCUGGUCUGUAACUGACGCUGAGGCUCGAAAGCGUGGGGAGCGAACAGG